CCGCAUGGGAUGAUUAUUAAAGAAUUUCGGUCGUCGAUGGGGAUGCGUUCCAUUAGGCAGUUGGCGGGGUAACGGCCCACCAAACCUACGAUGGAUAGGGGUUCUGAGAGGAAGGUCCCCCACAUUGGAACUGAGACACGGUCCAAACUCCUACGGGAGGCAGCAGUGAGGAAUAUUGGUCAAUGGACGAGAGUCUGAACCAGCCAAGUAGCGUGAAGGAUGACUGCCCUAUGGGUUGUAAACUUCUUUUAUACGGGAAUAAAGUGAGCCACGUGUGGUUUUUUGUAUGUACCGUAUGAAUAAGGAUCGGCUAACUCCGUGCCAGCAGCCGCGGUAAUACGGAGGAUCCGAGCGUUAUCCGGAUUUAUUGGGUUUAAAGGGAGCGUAGGCGGGUUGUUAAGUCAGUUGUGAAAGUUUGCGGCUCAACCGUAAAAUUGCAGUUGAUACUGGCGACCUUGAGUGCAACAGAGGUAGGCGGAAUUCGUGGUGUAGCGGUGAAAUGCUUAGAUAUCACGAAGAACUCCGAUUGCGAAGGCAGCUUACUGGAUUGUAACUGACGCUGAUGCUCGAAAGUGUGGGUAUCAAACAGGAUUAGAUACCCUGGUAGUCCACACAGUAAACGAUGAAGACUCGCUGUUGGCGAUAUACGGUCAGCG
rnacentral:rRNA from 1 species